rnacentral:rRNA from 1 species
GAUGAACGCUGGCGGCGUGCCUAACACAUGCAAGUCGAACGAGGCAAAUAAGUUGAAGUUUUCGGAUGGAUUCUUAUUUACCGAGUGGCGGACGGGUGAGUAACGCGUGGGUAACCUGCCUCAUACAGGGGGAUAACGGUUAGAAAUGACUGCUAAUACCGCAUAAGCGCACAGUACCGCAUGGUACGGUGUGAAAAACUACCGGUGGUAUGAGAUGGAUCCGCGUCUGAUUAGCUAGUUGGUAAGGUAACGGCUUACCAAGGCAACGAUCAAUAGCCGACCUGGGAGGGUGACCGGCCACAUUGGGACUGAGACACGGCCCAA